rnacentral:rRNA from 1 species
GACGAACGCUGGCGGCGUGCUUAACACAUGCAAGUCGAACGGAAAGGCCCUGCUUUUGUGGGGUGCUCGAGUGGCGAACGGGUGAGUAACACGUGAGUAACCUGCCCUUGACUUUGGGAUAACUUCAGGCAACUGGGGCUAAUACCGGAUAGGAGCUCCUGCUGCAUGGUGGGGGUUGGAAAGUUUCGGCGGUUGGGGAUGGACUCGCGGCGGAUCAGGUUGUUGGUGGGGUAGUGGCUUACCAAGGCGAUGACGCAUAGCUGGUCUGAGGGGAGGACCAGGCACAGUGGGAGUGAGACCGGGCGCAGACUCGUGCGGGAGGCAGCAGGGGGGAAUGUGGGACAAUGGGCGAAAGCGUGAUACAGCAAUGCCGCGUGAGGGAUGAAGGGCUUAGGGGUGUAAAGGUCUUUUAACCGGGAUGAUAAUGACAGUACCGGGAGAAUAAGCGAAGGCUAACUCCGUG